UUAAUUAUCAAUCACCUGAACGCGAAAUUUGGGAUCACUUUAAUCGAAGUAGAUUCUAAUUCUUGAAUCAUUGUUCAUCGAAUCAAUGAAAUUUCUUUGGUGGCACACGUUGAAUUUUAAUCUUGAGAUAAAAAAUUAAGCAAGAAGGUGAUCAUUUUACAGUGUAAGACUCGAAUUGAUGUUUCUGAACAUAACUACUUCAAAGAAAAUGAAUCAAAGGAUUAUCUUUUAGAGUAUACAACUCUUUUAUACCUGUGAACCCUGGCUGACAGAAACAUUCCACUUCCGGAUCAGCUUUUGGAUGAACAAUUUCUCCGUCUUGCACAAAUCUGGUGAGCCUCUUAAAUAACAUUUGCCUUCCGGAUCACCACGGUAACAAUCAACAAUCGCACAGUUGAACACGGGACUGUUA